AAGCUUGCUUCCCCGGGCGUCGACCGGCGCACGGGUGAGUAACGCGUAUCCAACCUGCCUCUGACUGAGGGAUAACCCGUCGAAAGUCGGCCUAAUACCUCAUGGCAUCGUCUGCGGGCAUCCAACGACGAUUAAAGAUUUCAUCGGUCAGGGAUGGGGAUGCGUCUGAUUAGCUAGUUGGCGGGGUAACGGCCCACCAAGGCUACGAUCAGUAGGGGUUCUGAGAGGAAGGUCCCCCACAUUGGAACUGAGACACGGUCCAAACUCCUACGGGAGGCAGCAGUGAGGAAUAUUGGUCAAUGGGCGGGAGCCUGAACCAGCCAAGUAGCGUGCAGGAAGACGGCCCUAUGGGUUGUAAACUGCUUUUAUGCGGGGAUAAAGUGAGGGACGUGUCCUUCAUUGCAGGUACCGCAUGAAUAAGGACCGGCUAAUUCCGUGCCAGCAGCCGCGGUAAUACGGAAGGUCCGGGCGUUAUCCGGAUUUAUUGGGUUUAAAGGGAGCGUAGGCCGCGGAUUAAGCGUGUUGUGAAAUGCAGGUGCUCAACGUCUGCACUGCAGCGCGAACUGGUCCACUAGAGUGUGCGCAACGCAGGCGGAAUUCGUCGUGUAGCGGUGAAUGCUUAGAUAUGACGAAGAACUCCGAUUGCGAAGGCAGCUUGC
rnacentral:rRNA from 1 species